CUCUGAUAAAGCUCUAGAUAGCUGCCAGGUGAUGCCAGAGAUUACUAGUUUUGGGACCAAUUAAAGUAGCAAGAUGCAGCCAGGAGUGGUGGCUUAUGCCUGUAAUCCCAGCACUUUGGGAGGCCGAGGCCGAGCUCAAGGGAGCAGAACUAAGUUACAUGAUUCUGCUGCGGAUGUAUAAGCACCACUCCAAUAAUUUAUUAUCACGGUUGGAGACUUUGACUUGUCACUUUAUGACUUGAAAUAUGGCUCCAUGGUAAAUGCCCAUAAAGCUGAUUUUUAAAAUCUGGAUAUUACAGUUCUAAUUCUCACUUAGUUUAAAAGGUAGAAUAGGCUUCUUGUUUCAUAGAUCAUUUGUGUGAAUGUUGAUUUGUUAUGUCAUUGACAUCAUACACACAUGCUUACAUUUUGAAGGUUGCUAGCGUUUCCCAUUAAUGCUUCUGAAUUGAUGCCAAAGGAAAGCAUUGAUUAUAAAUUAGGUUCCUUGGUAUUAGUUGGUGCAUGACCCUGACCCUUUU
rnacentral:lncRNA from 10 species